rnacentral:rRNA from 1 species
CACGUAGGGCGCAAGCGUUGUCCGGAAUUAUUGGGCGUAAAGAGCUCGUAGGCGGUCUGUUGCGUCCGCUGUGAAAACUCGGGGCUUAACCCCGAGCCUGCAGUGGAUACGGGCAGACUAGAGGUAGGUAGGGGAGAAUGGAAUUCCCGGUGUAGCGGUGAAAUGCGCAGAUAUCGGGAGGAACACCGGUGGCGAAGGCGGUGAGCUGGGCAGUAGCUGACACUGAGGCGCGACAGCGUGGGGAGCAAACAGG